UGAAGUGGACCUGGUGUUCGCCGGCGUGUCCGUUCUCGGCCACGCGGGAGGAAAGUCCGGGCACCACAGGGCGCGGUGCCGGGUAACGCCCGGUCGCGGUGACGUGGAGGAAAGUGCAACAGAGAGCAGACCGCCAGGAACACCGCCUCCGAGGCUGCCUGCGGCAACCCCCCGAUCCCGGGGGCACGGCCACAACGCAGCCCGGCGGAGCGCUCCGGCGCUUCGGGUAAGGUCGAAAGGGUGGAGUAAGAGCCCACCGGCGGCUUCGGCAACGAGGUCGGCCAGGCAAACCCCACCGGGUGCAAGGUCGAAUGUGGAGCGGGCGGCCCGUCCGAUGCUCCCAGGUAGACUGCUUGAGGCGACCGGGGACGGUCGCCCUAGACGAAUGAACACCACCCCCCCGAGGGCGACUGGAGGGGGGCACAGAACCCGGCUUACGGGCCACUUCAUCCC
rnacentral:RNase_P_RNA from 1 species